rnacentral:rRNA from 1 species
GGUGAAUGCUGGCGGCGUGGAUAAGUCAUGCAAGUCAAGGGGGCCCGCAAGGGCAACCGGCAAACGAGGUAGUAACACGUAGGUAGACCCCCCAGAGUCGGGCAUAGCCAGCCGAAAGGUUGGGUAAUUCCCGAUAGUCCCGAAAGGGUAAAGGUUUUUCGUCUCUGGGAGUUGCCUGCGUAGUAUCAGCUAGUUGGUAGGGUAAUGGCCUACCAAGGCUACGACGCUUAGGGGAGGCUGAGAGGCUGACCCCACCGAUGGAACUGCGACACGGUCCAUACUCCUACGGGAGGCUGCAGACGAGAAUAUU